rnacentral:lncRNA from 1 species
CUAGGGUUUUACCUCGUCUCACAACUUACGCCGCCAUCGUAGUCUACCUCAUCUCGAAUGCCGGCGUGCACCGACGUGCGAGAGAGCAGGUCUCCGGAACCGUUCGUCUUUGCGAUCCUGCGUCGGAAGAGAACGAAUUAGGUUUUUGGGAAGCGCUCUGCGCGACUGCUCAAAUUCGUCAUCACGGGUCGUCUACCAUCCAAGUCGGACGGUGCUACUCAUCUUCGUCUUCAUCGCCAUCAACAAAAGAUCAUCGUCAACAUCGCCAUCAACACGGUUGUUCCUGUAGCAGCUAACGAACAGUACGUUACUCGUAAUCUGUUAAUGCUUCUCGUUGUAGUUGCUAUUUCGUGUGCGGUGAUGAUCUACAUGUUUGGUUGCUCUUCUAAAUUGCUAGAGUAUUGUAUGCUAUUAUCUGUUCUAGUCAUGAAUUAUUUAUUGAAAUUAAUCAUGAACUUGCCUAUUCUUUCAACAAUUUUCUCCAGGUUUGCCUUCAUUAACCGAACGGUGUAAGGUUUUUUGUCAGAUUUUCCCUAUCAACUAGAUCAACUCUCUCCUUCUAAUUAAGGUGAGUGCAUGCAGUGGCGUAGCUAGGGGGGGUCCGUGUGGUCCAUGGACCACCAUAAAAUUUAUCUACAGCCUAUAUAUUAUAACAAAAGUGAGUAAAAUUUAAUAUGGAUAAUUAAAUACAAAUGAAAAUUUUACUACUGGACUAUUCUGGAUUAUUGAGCUGGUUCCGUUACUGAGUUCAUGAACCCUGCCUUCCAACGUGGUUCGACAUGGAAAAAAGCUUGCAAAGAGCAACUCGAUUUGAACCCUACAACAUUAUGCAAAGGUGAAAAAAGAGAGAGAGACGAAGGACGUGCUACGUACGAUUUUGUUCACCUUCCUGUCGUCUGAUGUAUGGUGGCCGUUGCUUUCGCAAUGCCCACAUGAUCCACCAAUGCACAUGCACGCGGGUGGCCGCUAGUGGCCCAUCCCCGUCGCAUAAACCACGCAAC